AACGGCUACCACAUCCAAGGAAGGCACAGGCGCGCAAAUUACCCAAUCCCGACACGGGGAGGUAGUGACAAUAAAUACUGAUACAGGGCUCUUUUGGGUCUUGUAAUGGAAUGAGUACAAUUUAAAUCCCUUAACGAGGAACAAUUGGAGGGCAAGUCUGGUGCCAGCAGCCGCGGUAAUUCCAGCUCCAAUAGCGUAUAUUAAAGUUGUUGCAGUUAAAAAGCUCGUAGUUGAACCUUGGGCCUGGCUGGCCGGUCCGCCUCACCGCGUGCACUGGUCCGGCCGGGUCUUUCCUUCUGGGGAGCCGCAUGCCCUUCACUGGGUGUGUCGGGGAACCAGGACUUUUACUUUGAAAAAAUUAGAGUGUUCAAAGCAGGCCUAUGCUCGAAUACAUUAGCAUGGAAUAAUAGAAUAGGACGUGUGGUUCUAUUUUGUUGGUUUCUAGGACCGCCGUAAUGAUUAAUAGGGAUAGUCGGGGGCAUCAGUAUUCAAUUGUCAGAGGUGAAAUUCUUGGAUUUAUUGAAGACUAACUACUGCGAAAGCAUUUGCCAAGGAUGUUUUCAUUAAUCAGUGAACGAAAGUUAGGGGAUCGAAGACGAUCAGAUACCGUCGUAGUCUUAACCAUAAACUAUGCCGACUAGGGAUCGGGCGAUGUUAUCUUAUUGACUCGCUCGGCACCUUACGAGAAAUCAAAGUCUUUGGGUUC
rnacentral:rRNA from 1 species